GAUGGGCGCUGGGUGCCCGGCCGGCGCUGGCACGGACACGGCUCAAGGGCUGCCCGUGGCUCCCGGGCCAGGGGCUGCUCUGAGCAGGCUCCUGGAGAUGCUUCAGCCUGGAUACAGGCCACUGACAGCCCAAAAGCAGCCCAAGGAGCAGCUGGCGUGUCCUGGUGAUGGUGGCACGGGCUGUGUGCAGAGGGGCUCAGACAGCAAUUCCUGGUUCCAGCCUCCCAGAGCUCCCAGGCAGCUGCCAGCUAUUAAAUGCCAACCGACAGCCUGCAGAGAUGCCUUCAAAUCAAAGGUUCAGGUGGGAUGAAGUUUUGUUUGGACGAAGGUGGGAGUUUCCAGGGAGCCAGCUGGAAGUGCAGAAGGGAUGGAAAGCUUUCCCAGGUACUUCCCAGUGGCACUGCUCAGACACCAGAGCUCCAAC